AACGCGAAGAACCUUACCAGGGCUUGACAUCCCUCUGACAGGCGUGUAACGGCGCCCUCCCUUCGGGGCAGAGGAGACAGGUGGUGCAUGGUUGUCGUCAGCUCGUGUCGUGAGAUGUUGGGUUAAGUCCCGCAACGAGCGCAACCCUUGUCAUUAGUUGCCAGCAAUUCGGAUGGGCACUCUAGUGAGACUGCCGGGGAUAACUCGGAGGAAGGUGGGGAUGACGUCAAAUCAUCAUGCCCCUUAUGUUCUGGGCUACACACGUGCUACAAUGGCCGGUACAAAGAGAAGCAAGACCGUGAGGUGGAGCAAAUCUGGUAAAACCGGUCUCAGUUCGGAUUGUAGGCUGCAACUCGCCUACAUGAAGUUGGAGUUGCUAGUAAUCGUGAAUCAGAAUGUCACGGUGAAUGCGUUCCCGGGUCUUGUACACACCG
rnacentral:rRNA from 1 species